rnacentral:lncRNA from 1 species
UGGCAUCAUACUCAAUCUGACCUGGCAGCCCAACAAUACAGCCCAUUUAUCGUUCUAGAUUUAGGCCCAUGUAGUCAAUUGUUUAUUGGGCCUUCACCAGUUUCCAAAUAUUUUAAUAUUCUUUAUACAUUGCCAUUCAUACACAUUUAUUAUGCUUGCACGUUCUAGAUUAUUAUCAGCCUUUGCCUGUUCCAACCCAUCUUCGGCCAAGAUUGCCCAGCAUUUGAUCCACACAAAGAAAGUAAGGAAUCUCCAUUUAGCAAAAAAAACAAUAAUAUAAUGCACAACUACAGAUUCACAACUACAAAAUUCAGACCACCAUAGCAGAUUACAAUUACAUCUCACAAUCACACCAGACAUUUAGAUACAUAUAAUAUGUGUGUCGUGUUCCCUGUCUUAAGUGUAGGAUCAUUUGUUCCAUCCCAAGUCAUGUUACCCUUCAAAACGAAACUAGUGUAAUAUCUUCUGUUCUACCUCAAUUACCUGCAAGAGAAUAUCAGAAAACAAAUUGUGAGAACUAUUAGCAUGAGGAAUAAAUUAUGGGAAACAUUCAUCCAAACCUUUAUUUAAAAUGAUAGUGAUUAGCUCGCCUGCAAUAAAAUGACAGGAAAAAGGAACAAUAUACAGCAACAUCACAUUUUUCAGUCAACAUGCCCAUUUUAGCAGCAAUCAAACAAGGAUUUUGGCAUGCAAAAAGAAACAUAUGCACGUCCUAGUAUCACACAGAAAGAAAUCAAAUAUGAAUAUUAGCAGUGAGAUGGUUGGUGGAACAUCUAUCCUCACAGAUUACCGCAUAAAUCAGUUGAUAUAUGUGGAUAGACCAAAUCUUUACCAAGACAUUUGAAAUAAAUGCCCUAUUGAAACAAAGAACAUGAAUAGAUUAAACAUGUACAUUUCAGUCAACAUGUUUGUUGAGAUAGAUAUAUAAAAUAUUUCACAUAACCACUACGUAAAAUGAUUAAAUAUAUACAUUGAACCAUAAUCCAGAGCAAUAGUAUUCGCUACAAAAUGUUUUCCUUAAAAGGCCAACAACUCAAAAAGAACACAGGUAAAAAGCAGUAUCAGAAGCAACUUUACUGAUAGAGUGACAAUGUAGUGAAAGCAAGAUACUUGGUUCAAAUAAACACAAAUAAUGGUCUAAAUUAUUUUUGUUCCCAGUUUAAUCAAUCAUAUUUACUUUUGGCUAAAAAUUAUUGACAGGUUGCUUAAAAUGGAUGUAACUCGAUCAUGUGCAUGGUAUGGGAAUUCCCAUGGGAAAUCUUCUGCCAUACAAUGCCCUUGGUUGUGUCAGUAAAUCGAUUGUAAAUUAAACUCACUUCUAAGACUAAGAGGCUCCGCACACAUUCAGGAUCUCAAACUGAAUUCUGCACUACGAGGUUGAUACUUUUUGAGUUGCUUGGCUCAACUUUUGUGAUCUCUAUCAUUGUUUGUAGAUAUAUUUUCAUAUAUUUUCUUAACCAUAUAGCAUUUUUAAGAUGAUGGAACAUAUCAGCAAGCUUCAUCUUUUAAACAAGCUGAAUCAGAGAGUCGUAAUGACCACAUAAUCCGAGUGGUGUAUUAUCAUAAAAAGAAAUACGUACUGAGCAAUAGAGAACAAUCAAGAACGAUAGAUAGAUACAAGGAUUUGCAACUGAAUCAGAGAAACAUCAUGACCACAUAGUACUGAGUGGUGUUUUCUCAUAAAAAGUAGGUACUGAGCAAUAGAGAACAAUCAGGAACGAUAGAAAGAUUCAAGGAUUUGCAACUGAAUCAGAGAAUCGUCCUGAUCGCGUAGUGCUGGGCGGUGUUUUCUUAUAAAAAGAAAUAUGUACAGAGCAAUAGAGAACAAUCAGGAACGGUAGAUAGAUACAAGGAUUAUAAGCAUCACAGUAAAGUAAUUGGUAUAGAGUAAAUGUUUGCAAUCAGCAUUUUGUCAAAAUAGGCAUGCAACUAUAAAAAUACCAUUUCAGAUUUUACAUAUCAUGCAUCCACCGUGAACAAAACAAACAACUCUAUCAAACUAGGUGUUACAGCAAGCAAUAAAGUAAGUAUAAAAUGGAAACAAGCAAGCGCACACACACACACACUACGACGAUACAAAAAGCACAAAGAAGAUAUUUAAGGAUUGGCAUUGCUAUACACACAACAACUGCAUGCCCGAUGCUUGCACAAUUCUGCCAUGGCAGCGCCAACAGCGAGCAUGCUGGCAAGAGCGCUGUUGGUCAGGGAACAUCGUUCGUAGGUCGUGCAGCUAUUGUCGUGUGUGAAGCUAUUUCUUUUAAGGAUAUGAACGUCUGGACAAAGAAGGAUACAUAGUUUGUAGUGCUAGCUAAUUAUGUUGUACUGCAGAAGUAGUUUCGACUGACCUUUCUGUAUUUUUCUCCUCUGUUCUUCAGAAGGCUCUAUUUCAUCAACACAUUUGAUGUCAUUAACCGCACCCUCGACUUCAGUUAUCUCCUCCACCUAUAGAAUAAUAAUUGGAACUUUAGUGGAACUAUUCCAUGGAGAAAACAAAUAAAUCUUGUGUUUUAGUUGAAGUAUCCCUAUAGUUACUCCUACAUAGGAUUCCCUCAAUAAUUUAUUCCAGCUUUAAGCAUACCAUCUUUUCAGUUUCAUAUAUACUCUACAUCAUAAUUUGAUCCAUCUCAAUGAUGUAAAUCUGUAAACUAGAUUGACACACAUAAACACAUCACGACCUCAGAAACUAUGUGAGCACCCCACAUAUAUUUGUUACACGUACAUGUUGAUGAAGAAAAGAUGUAAAUAAAUCUCUACAUUUAAAAAAACAGUCACACAAACGUUUAUGCAAAAUAUGGAACGUAAUACAUCAUCUUGGUAUCUUUCCAAAACAAUUAGUCCCAGCCACAAAAGUUACUUCACUGCAAAGCACUAUCCUGACAUCCUAAAUAGAUAAUUCUUCAAUUAAUGGAGAGUGAAAAGGGUUCUCACCUUCACAGCAAGUGGUCCGGCGAGGUCACCUGUGGCGAUGCAAAAAAGGCCAAGGAGUGCCGAAGAAAACAGCGGCCACCCCCUCCUUUCCCAGCGCGAGAUUGUGAAGGAGACGGAGUGUCGAGGCAGCCGUCCUUGGUCCUGGCCAGCGGGUAGGCGAGAACGUUUAUCUCGCCGACCUCAACCACCUUCCUCGACCACCACACCCAUGAAGACGAGCAAGGGGCUGACCUUGACGCGGAUGCCGGAGCGCCGCUACCGCCGCGGGUGCCCCCAUCGCAGAUCUGAGUAGGCUGCAUAGGGGGAGAGGGUGGGGCGGUGGAGGAGCGAUAGAUGGUGGGAGACGAAGAUGGAGCGGGAGAUCGUUGGGACGGCGGCGCGGGAGAUCGAGGGUGUGGCAGCCGCGCUGGGAGGGAGGCUGGGCAUGGAUCUGAAUCGGGAACAGGGAGGGAGAGGAGUCGGCGGCUGUAGGUGGAGAUGGAUUAGGGUUUCCGUGGUCGUGGGGAGAGAGGUGCGAGGCUGUGGCCUCUCGGGCUGGUGGGCUGUGGAGUUAAAUGGGUUGGCU